rnacentral:rRNA from 1 species
GACGAACGCUGGCGGCGUGCUUAACACAUGCAAGUCGAACGGUGAAGCGCCUUCCUUUUUGGUGGGUGUGGAUGAGUGGCGAACGGGUGAGUAACACGUGAGUAACCUGCCCCCUUCUUCUGGAUAACCGCAUGAAAGUGUGGCUAAUACGGGAUAUUCUGGGUCUGUCGCAUGAUGGGUCUGGGAAAGAUAUUGUUUCGGUGGGGGAUGGGCUCGCGGCCUAUCAGCUUGUUGGUGGGGUGAUGGCCUACUAAGGCGGUGACGGGUAGCCGGCCUGAGAGGGUGGACGGUCACACUGGGACUGAGACACGGCCCAGACUCCUACGGGAGGCAGCAGUGGGGAAUAUUGCACAAUGGGCGCAAGCCUGAUGCAGCGACGCCGCGUGAGGGAUGGAGGCCUUCGGGUUGUGAACCUCUUUCGCCAGUGAAGCAGGCCUGCCUCGUUUGUGGGUGGGUUGACGGUAGCUGGAUAAGAAGCGCCGGCUAACUACGU